rnacentral:rRNA from 1 species
GACGAACGCUGGCGGCGUGCCUAACACAUGCAAGUCGAACGAAACGGCCCUUCGGGGUACUCGAGUGGCGAACGGGUGAGUAACACGUGGGUUAUCUGCCCUGCACUCUGGGCUAAGCCUGGGCAACUGGGUCUAAUUCCCAAUAGGCCCACGAUCUUCCUGGUGUGUGGUGGCCCGCUUUUGCGGUGUGGGAUGGGCCCGCGGCCUAUUAGCUUGUUGGUGGGGUAAUGGCCUACCAAGGCGACGAUGGGUAGCCGACCUGCGAGGGGGACAGGCGACACUGGGACGGGAAUAAGGCCCAGACUCGUACGGGACGCAGGAGAGGAGAAGAGUGCAUAAGGGGCGGAGGCCAGGUGCAGCGACGCCGCGUGGGGGAUGACGGCCAGCGGGUAGGAAUCCACUGUCCCCAUGGCCGAGGCGUAAGUGACGGUACCGGGAGAAGAAGCACCGGCCAACUACGUG